AAAAUGAAAAACUCUUCCAAAGAACCCUAAACUCUUCGAAGAAACCAGUUCUCUGUGACCCCAGCAAUCCGGAGAACAUAACCGGUGCUCCCUGUUCCGGCAUACUAACCUAACACCCACCACACUCCCCUCCUUUCCCCUUAUAAUAGCGCCGUAGCCCCACUCCCCCUUUUCCCAUCUCCAGCGCACACAACACAAUACACACACGCACCACCUCACCCACACCGAAGAGGAGAGCUCGACGAAGGAGACGCCGCCUUGCUGCCAGCUCCGUUGAAGACCAGCCCGCCGCCGCUGUCGAGUCAAACCUGAGAGAGAGUGUGUGCAACGAUGAGAGAGGAGGUACCAUCACCAAAUGCGUCGCAGCCGCUGGAGUAGCUUCGCUCUUCGCCGUCGCCGAGGAGGGGAAAGAGGAGCUGCUCCCGUCGCACCAGUCACCGUCGUGCUUCCUGGUUGCCGAUGAAGGAGCCGCGAGAACCGUUGCCGUCGCGGAGGAGGGGGACACGCGAGAGGGAGCCAUCAGUGUUGUCGCCAUCACAGCUGUUGAGUAAAUCUUCGUGCUUUUUCAUUCUCAGGAAAUCCAAGGAAAUCCAAGUUCUAGGUUGAUUCUUUUCUGGUUCAGUAAGAUGAGUUCUCAUGAAAAAUCUCUUGAUUGAUUUUUUAUGUCUUAUCUUUUUUUUCCCUACUCUGACAUAUCUUUUGAUUUGCAUGAUUAGGCUGCAAGGGAAACUGGUGCACUUCAAGAAGCAAAGGACGAACUUUAAGAAACGGUGGAGGAACUCACCUGGCGUCUCCAACUAGAAAAAAGUUCGCGGACCAACCUCGAAGAGUCCAAAGCACAAGAGAUAUCAAAACUGCAGAAUUCAUUACAGGAGAUGCAGGGUAAACUUGAUGAAACCAAUGUUCUACAGGGUAAACUUGAUGAAACUAAUGCUCUACUUGUCAAGGAGCGAGAGAAUGUAGAGAAGGUUACCAUCGAAGCAAUUCUAGUUAUCUAAGAAAAGGAGAUUAUUGUUGAAGACACUGCAAAGAUUGAUGCACUAACAGUGGAAGUUGAGAGGCUAAAGGAUUGUGGACAAGGUUAACAAUUCUAUUGGGAAAGAUCCAAAUUCAAAGAACUUAAUCGGAGUCUUAGAUAUAUACAGAUUUGAAAGUUUCAAGAUGAACAGUUUUGAGCAAUUCUGUAUCAAUUUGACUAAUGAGAAAUUGCAACAGCAUUUCAACCAGGUGGGGAUUUCUUCUGGAGCUGCUGCAGCAGCAGCUGCAAUAAAGGUUGGAAAGAGACCUGAGAAUGCAGGGAAGCUUAUUGUGAAAUUUUCCAUUCAAGCAAGAAAAAUGAAAUGCCCACUAGCUUCACUCAUUGAUAUAAUUAGUACAAGAGAAAGCACAUAAGUAGGAGUACUGUGAGAAGUAUGCUAAAGCUGAAGAUGUAAGAGCUGCACCAGAAGAGAAAUCAAGUGAUGAUGAGGAAAUAAGUGAAGAUCAAUAUGAUUCAAGUGAUGAACAUGUUGCUGGUAAAGCAGAUCCUUAGCUGCUUCAAGUGAUGAACUUGGAAUUGUGGUCAAAGGGGGAAAUGUCCCUUAUUGUUUUUCAGUUUCACGUCAAUGUAAAUAAUGUACCAUUGAUUUCCUGAUGCAAUCUUAGUUUCUUGUUGUGGCUCUUUCAAAUUGAUGCAUUGUGCUUUUUAGCUUAGCAUGGUACUACCAUAAUAUGCACAAAUACUCUUCCUGUAACUCAUUUAAUGCAAUGUUCACAACUAUUCAUCUUU